AGGGAAUCUUCCGCAAUGGACGAAAGUCUGACGGAGCAACGCCGCGUGAGUGAUGAAGGUUUUCGGAUUGUAAAGCUCUGUCAUCUGGGACGAUAAUGACGGUACCAGAUGAGGAAGCCACGGCUAACUACGUGCCAGCAGCCGCGGUAAUACGUAGGGGGCAAGCGUUGUCCGGAAUUAUUGGGCGUAAAGCGCGCGCAGGCGGCUGUUUAAGUCUGGUGUAUAAUCCUGGGGCUCAACUCCGGGUCGCACUGGAAACUGGACGGCUUGAGUGCAGAAGAGGAGAGUGGAAUUCCACGUGUAGCGGUGAAAUGCGUAGAGAUGUGGAGGAACACCAGUGGCGAAGGCGACUCUCUGGUCUGUAACUGACGCUGAGGCACGAAAGCGUGGGUAGCAAAC
rnacentral:rRNA from 1 species